rnacentral:sRNA from 1 species
AUCUACUUGUUGAGGUGAAAUAAAGUGAAUGUGAGUAUCAAUACCACCGGCAGUCACAAUAAGGCCUUCUCCUGCGAUAAUUUCAGUGGAUGCUCCUAUGAUAAUGUCUACAUUCUUCAUGAUGCGAGGAUUACCACUUUUACCAAUAGCCGCAAUUUUUCCAUCUUUAAUACCGAUGUCAGCCUUGUAUAUACCAGAGUAGUCAAGAAUCACAGCAUUGGUAAUAACAAGAUCCAUUGCACCUUCUGCACGGCUUAUAAGAGGGUCUUGUCCCAUACCAUCACGGAU